rnacentral:ncRNA from 12 species
UGAUGUAGCUCAGUGGUCAGAGCAGUUGAACGUGAAUCAGCAGGUCCCGGGUUCGAUCCCCGGUAUC